rnacentral:rRNA from 1 species
CCUACGGGGCGCAGCAGUGGGGAAUAUUGCACAAUGGGGGGAACCCUGAUGCAGCGACGCCGCGUGAGCGAAGAAGUAUUUCGGUACGUAAAGCUCUAUCAGCAGGGAAGAAAAUGACGGUACCUGACUAAGAAGCCCCGGCUAACUACGUGCCAGCAGCCGCGGUAAUACGUAGGGGGCAAGCGUUAUCCGGAUUUACCGGGUGUAAAGGGAGCGUAGACGGCUGUGCAAGUCUGGAGUGAAAGGCGGGGGCCCAACCCCCGGACUGCUCUGGAAACUGUAUGGCUGGAGUGCAGGAGAGGUAA